ensembl:antisense Gm31728 predicted gene, 31728
CAGGAAAACACUGGGUGCAGAAGGUGCAGGCCUUCGCUGUGUCUUGCCCUGGAGACCGCAGCAUCAUACUGACAUUGAAAUCUGAAGUUGGCUAGUGCCUUUUCUUAGGGGCCUGGCAGCGCCACUGGGACAAGGGUUCCUUACCCUUGCUGGGCCUCGGUUUCCUCAUCUGUGAAAGGAUAGUGUGAGGGCCUUCAGAGGAACAUGGCACAUUACAGAGAAAUGAGGGGGCAGGGGGCAGCGUGGAUCCUGAACAGACAGAGCCUGGGCCAAGCCGAGGGAAGAUCAGCUGAUGUGAGCCAGGCCUCCACACACAUCACUUCCAGGAUCUCCUGUGAGGCCCGGAGUACUGCCAAGGUGAUGACGGAUGUGCCUCCUCCUGGGUCAGCUUCAGGUGAAGUCAUCCGUUCCCUCUGCACUCCAUCAGGACCUGUU